UACGGAGGGGGGCUAGCGUUGUUCGGAAUUACUGGGCGUAAAGCGCACGUAGGCGGCUUUGUAAGUUAGAGGUGAAAGCCCGGGGCUCAACUCCGGAAUUGCCUUUAAGACUGCAUCGCUAGAAUUGUGGAGAGGUAAGUGGAAUUCCGAGUGUAGAGGUGAAAUUCGUAGAUAUUCGCAAGAACACCGGUGGCGAAGGCGGCCAACUGGACCAUUACUGACGCUGAGGCGCGAAAGCGUGGGGAGCAAACAGG
rnacentral:rRNA from 1 species